UAUCAAUAAGCGGAGGAAAAGAAACCAACAGGGAUUGCCCUAGUAACGGCGAGUGAAGCGGCAACAGCUCAAAUUUGAAAUCGGCCCCCCGGUCGAGUUGUAAUUUGCAGAGGAUGCUUCUGGGCAGCGGCCGGUCUAAGUUCCUUGGAACAGGACGUCAUAGAGGGUGAGAAUCCCGUAUGCGACCGGCGCGCACCCUCCACGUAGCUCCUUCGACGAGUCGAGUUGUUUGGGAAUGCAGCUCUAAAUGGGAGGUAAAUUUCUUCUAAAGCUAAAUACCGGCGAAAGACCGAUAGCGCACAAGUAGAGUGAUCGAAAGAUGAAAAGCACUUUGGAAAGAGAGUUAAAAAGCACGUGAAAUUGUUGAAAGGGAAGCGCUUGCAAUCAGACUUGUUGGCGGAGUUCCGCCGGUCUUUUGACUGGUCUACUCUCCGUCGACAGGCCAACAUCGUCUGGGGCCGCCGGAUAAGACGUUAGGAAUGUGGCUCCUCGGAGUGUUAUAGCCUAUCGUGAUGWCGGCGCGCCCCGGGCGAGGUCCGCGCUUCGGCAAGGAUGUUGGCGUAAUGGUUGUCAGCGGCCCCUCUUGAAACACGG
rnacentral:rRNA from 1 species